rnacentral:piRNA from 1 species
UGAUGUUCAGGUGAAAUGUUAGCCA